rfam:Gossypium hirsutum cultivar TM-1 chromosome 19, whole genome shotgun sequence
UGUUAAAAAUUUCAUUCAUUUCUACUAUUAAAAACUGGCAUCACUGAAAAAAUAAUUGGUCAUGUGUACCUCAUGCUAACGUAUAAGAACCAAUUUUUAAUAAUGAAAAUAGACGAGAUUUUAACA